AGUGCAGAAGAGGAGAGUGGAAUUCCACGUGUAGCGGUGAAAUGCGUAGAGAUGUGGAGGAACACCAGUGGCGAAGGCGACUCUCUGGUCUGUAACUGACGCUGAGGCGCGAAAGCGUGGGGAGCGAACAGGAUUAGAUACCCUGGUAGUCCACGCCGUAAACGAUGAGUGCUAAGUGUUAGAGGGUUUCCGCCCUUUAGUGCUGCAGCAAACGCAUUAAGCACUCCGCCUGGGGAGUACGGUCGCAAGACUGAAACUCAAAGGAAUUGACGGGGGCCCGCACAAGCGGUGGAGCAUGUGGUUUAAUUCGAAGCAACGCGAAGAACCUUACCAGGUCUUGACAUCCUCUGACAACCCUAGAGAUAGGGCUUCCCCUUCGGGGGCAGAGUGACAGGUGGUGCAUGGUUGUCGUCAGCUCGUGUCGUGAGAUGUUGGGUUAAGUCCCGCAACGAGCGCAACCCUUGAUCUUAGUUGCCAGCAUUCAGUUGGGCACUCUAAGGUGACUGCCGGUGACAAACCGGAGGAAGGUGGGGAUGACGUCAAAUCAUCAUGCCCCUUAUGACCUGGGCUACACACGUGCUACAAUGGGCAGAACAAAGGGCAGCGAAGCCGCGAGGCUAAGCCAAUCCCACAAAUCUGUUCUCAGUUCGGAUCGCAGUUUGCAACUA
rnacentral:rRNA from 1 species